GACGAACGCUGGCGGCGUGCUUAACACAUGCAAGUCGAACGGAAAGGCCCUGCUUUUGUGGGGUGCUCGAGUGGCGAACGGGUGAGUAACACGUGAGUAACCUGCCCUUGACUUUGGGAUAACUUCAGGAAACUGGGGCUAAUACCGGAUAGGAUCUCCUGCUGCAUGGUGGGGGUGGGAAAGUUUCGGCGGUUGGGGAUGGAUGGGCGGGUUAUGAGCUUGUUGGUGGGGGAGUGGCUUACCAAGGGUUUGACGGGUAGGCGGCCCGAGAGGGUGACCGGCCACCUUGGGACUGAGAUACGGCCCAGACUGCUACGGGAGGCAGCAGUGGGGAAUAUUGCACAAUGGGCGGAAGCCUGAUGCAGCAACGCCGCGUGCGGGAUGACGGCCUUCGGGUUGUAAACCGCUUUCGCCUGUGACGAAGCGGGAGUGACGGUAAUGGGUAAAGAAGCACCGGCUAACUACGUG
rnacentral:rRNA from 1 species